UCAAGAAACUUCCACAAUGGGCGAAAGCCUGAUGGAGCGACGUCGCGUGAUGGACGAAGUGCUUCGGCACGUAAACAUCUUUUAUGUGGGAUGAAAUUAUUGACAGUACCACAUGAAUAAGGGGCUCCUAACUCUGUGCCAGCAGGAGCGGUAAUACAGAGGCCCCAAGCGUUAUCCGGAAUCACUGGGCGUAAAGGGUGUCGAGGCGGUUGUAUUAGUCGUUCGUAAAAUCUACGAGCUUAACUUGUAGGCGGCGAACGAAACGGUACGACUUGAGGUUUGGAGAGGUGCGUGGAACUCACGGUGUAGGGGUGAAAUCCGUUGAUAUCGUGGGGAACACCAAAGGCGAAGGCAGCGCACUGGCCAAAAUCUGACGCUCACACACGAAAGCUAGGGUAGCGAAGAGGAUUAG
rnacentral:rRNA from 1 species